AGCGCGAGUUGCACAUUAUUCAACAGCGCCCCCUCGGGUCACACUUUUCGGUGGGUCGCAGAAUUCGGUGUAACAACGGGACUCACUGCACGCAUAUGUGACGUUCGGCUCAGCUGCACUUGGAGGUUAUGAUGCAUCACUCGAUUUUUAGGGAUGAUUCAAAGCCAGAAGUCAAAUGCUGCACAACUUGCUGCACACUUUUCCACUGCCCCCUAUGCCCAACUUUUAAACCAACCGUAAACACGAAGCUUCAGUGCCACCUGGAAUCCCACAUAAAACAUUCCAUUACAUUUAAAGAAUGCAGGUUUGCUCAGGGGGAAGGUGGUCGAGCCCGCAUUUCCGAAUAUGGACGCAAAAGAACAGCAGGAGCUCCUGGAAAGGAUACGUUCUUCAACUGAUGAAGAAGAAAAGUAUCCCCUGCUCUUCACAUUUGAUUUUCAGGAAGACAUGGAGGUCUUCCUUAACAUGGCAGCUGAGGAGGAUCUUCGGGUCAACGCCAUGUUUCUGGGUCGCUGGGUGGACAGCCAGUGACAUUGCUGUGUGUGUGUGUGUGUGUGUGUGUGUGUGUGUGUGUGUGUGUGUGUGUGUGUGUGUGUGUGUGUGUGUGUGUGUGUGUGUGUGUGUGUGUGUGUGUGUGUGUGUGUGUGUGAGUUCAGUUAUCUGUUGAGUGUUCUUAAUAAAGUGUUAUAACGUUUACAAUGUAUAGAUUUUUUGUAUGACUUUACUUAUUCACUUUGGUAACACACAGAGCUAAGUUAAAACACAGACUUGAGUUUGUCGUAUUUAAAUAUGGGCAAAUAAGGUGGUCCAGCAGCACAAGGUAAGACAAUAUUAUAGACAAUUAGAGCCAGAUAUUAAAUGAAUGAUGGUUCAGAGUAAGAAUUUAGGAAUGCAAAAGUGCUAAUAACAUAUGAUAAAUUAUGUUGGAAUGCAGUCAAACCUUAUGAUAUUAA